UUUACAGAAAAAGAAAAGCUAUUUAUUGUAGGGGUGAACGCUCCAGAGACAGUCGUCCUCGGCACUCUGUUCUCAGGUGCAGAGAUGGCGGACAGGAGCCCGGAAACUAGGGGAAAUAGGCCAGGCUUUAUCAGAACAUCAUUGCUCCGUGGGAGGUGCCUGGGAGCAGGUCCAGCUGAGCCUGGACUCCCGGUACUCAGAGGCUUGAGCCAAGAGGAUAGUGAAUUUGAGAGCAGCCCAGGCUUUGCAGGAGUUCUGGUCACUUUGUGAUACAUGAUCAGAAGUGACUCAAAAAACCAAAGGGUGGUGUAGUACUUGCCUAGCGUGUCCUGGGUUCAAAUCCUUGUCUCAAAAAAGAAAGAAAGAAAGAAAGAAAGAAAGAAAGAAAGAAAGAAAGAAAGAAAGAAGAAAGAAAAGGUACACACUUCUACUGAACAAUGUUGGGCAUUAAGGAACUACAGCGGUUUUUCCAUGGUUUGCCUAUUUGGGGGGAUGUGGGGGUUGAACCCUGGAGUAUAAGCACAUUAAGCUCAUGCUCUGCCAAGUUACACUGUGCUCCGUGCUCUAAAAGGAAAUAUCACUAACCUAGGAAGGUUAGCAUAGAGAUCUCUAACGGAUGCUUUGAAAUGUUUUUUUUUUAAUUACUAUAAAAUGUUUUCAAGGUCCUGCUAAGUAGUGCAGGCUAUCCUGGGAUUUGCCCAGGCCAGCCUCAAAAUCCUACGUAAUCAUAAUUCACACUUGGAAAACCGAGUCGCAAGCAGCUGAAGUAAUAUUCCCAUAUUUAUCAAGUUAGUAUGAGUAAGGACCCUGGACUUGAACUCAGGGCUUUCUGGGUGGCCACCUGGUGACACAGAAGCCACUGGAGGUGUUCCAGAUUAUCCCGAGGCCAGCAUGUAUGGGCAUGUAUGGCUAAGGCUACGCUACAAAGAGGCCGUCCGCUCUGAUUCACAGGUGAACUCACCUUGCCUUAUCUUCUGUGAGGUAACAAGUGGACAAAUACCUUCAGACGGCUCCACAUGACACAUACAAACAAACCAGCUAUGGCAUGCGGAGCCGGGCAGACUAGAGCACCGGCUCUCCCCACUCUCUUACACAAAGCUCUUUUUGUGACAUCACAGUGCUGCGUCAGCGGAGACACUCUCUGGAAACAAACUGACACCAUUAAACCCAUCUCCAAGCUGGGGCUGUAGGAGAGCUCGCCAUACCCAGGGCCUUCCUCCGACAUCUCCACCACUAUGUGACCGGCUUCGAUAGGUGGUUCUGGCUGUCCCGGCACUUCCUGUGAAGACAAGGCUAACGUCAAGCUCGGAGCAAUUCUCCUUCCUUGGCCUUCCGUGCCAGAAUUACAGGUGUGGGACACCA
rnacentral:sRNA from 1 species